rnacentral:misc_RNA from 2 species
AACGCACCUUGCACUCUUUGGUAUUCCGAAGAGUAUGUCUGUUUGAGUGUCAUGAAACUCUCAACCCCCCUGUUUUGUAAUGAGACGGGCGUGGGCUUGGAUUAUGGCUGCUGCCGGCGUAAAGUCGGCUCAGCUGAAAUACACGAGCAACCAUUUGAAAUAGACGGUUUGACUCGGCGUAAUAAUUACUUCGCUGAGGACGUUUUCUUCAAUAGUUAGAGGUGCUUCUAAUGCAUAUACAUAUUUAAUGUUAGACCUCAAAUCAGUCAGGACUACCCGCUGAACUUAA